AUUUAUAUAGCUUAAUUUUAAAGUUUAAUAUUGAAGAUAUUAAGAUGAUUUAUAAUCUUUAAAUA
rnacentral:tRNA from 1 species